rnacentral:lncRNA from 1 species
UGAGAGAGGUCAGCGUGAGCCCCUUGCCUCACACCGGCCCCUCCCACGCUGAGAGAGGUCAGUGUGAGCCCUUGCCUCACACCGGCCCCUCCCACGCGGACAGAGGUCAGCGUGAGCCCCUUGCCUCACACCGGCCCCUCCCACGCUGAGAGAGGUCAGUGUGAGCCCUUGCCUCACCCCGGCCCCUCCCACGUGGACAGAGGUCAGCGUGAGCCCCUUGCCUCACACCGGCCCCUCCCACGCGGACAGAGGUCAGCCCGAGCCCCUUGUCUCACACCGGCCCCUCCCAUGCUGAGAGAGGUCAGCGUGCCCCUUGUCUCACACCGGCCCCUCCCACGCUGAGAGAGGUCAGCCCAAGCCCCUUGCCUCACACCGGCCCCUCCCACGCGGACAGAGGUCAGCCCGAGCUCCUUGCCUCACACCGGCCCCUCCCACGCUGAGAGAGGUCAGCGUGAGCCCCUUGUCUCACACCGGCCCCUCCCACGCUGAGAGAGGUCAGCCCGAGCCCCUUGCCUCACACCGGCCCCUCCCACGCUGAGAGAGGUGUGAGCCCCUUGUCUCACACCGGCCCCUCCCACGCGGACAGAGGUCAGCGUGAGCCCCUUGCCUCACCCCGGCCCCUCCCACGCUGAGAGAGGUCAGUGUGAGCCCUUGCCUCACACCGGCCCCUCCCACGCGGACAGAGGUCAGCGUGAGCCCCUUGCCUCACCCCGGCCCCUCCCACGCUGAGAGAGGUCAGUGUGAGCCCUUGCCUCACACCGGCCCCUCCCACGCGGACAGAGGUC